UACAGAGGUCUCAAGCGUUGUUCGGAUUCAUUGGGCGUAAAGGGUGCGUAGGUGGCGGGGUUAGUCAGGUGUGAAAUCUCGGGGCUCAACCCCGAAACUGCACUUGAUACUGCCUUGCUCGAGUACUGGAGAGGAGAUUGGAAUUUACGGUGUAGCAGUGAAAUGCGUAGAUAUCGUAAGGAAGACCAGUGGCGAAGGCGAAUCUCUGGACAGUUCCUGACACUGAGGCACGAAGGCCAGGGGAGCAAACGGG
rnacentral:rRNA from 1 species